rnacentral:rRNA from 1 species
GACCUCGGAUCAGGUAGGGAUACCCGCUGAACUUAAGCAUAUCAAUAAGCGGAGGAAAAGAAACCAACAGGGAUUGCCUUAGUAACGGCGAGUGAAGCGGCA